CUUUAACCUUGUUACACCGCUUGGCUGUCAAUCAGACUACACGUCCUGUUAUUCCUGGCCUGUUAGCUCAGUGGAGCUACUUAUAUUCCCUGAAAAUAAGACUGGGUCUUAUAUUAAUUUUUCCCCUGAAAAACACACUAGGGCUUAUUUUCAGCGGAUGUCUUAUUUAGGGGGAAAGCGGUUUCAAGCAUUCGCUUGAAAGCAGGUCUACGUUUG